rnacentral:rRNA from 1 species
UACGAAGGGGCUAGCGUUGUUCGGAAUUACUGGGCGUAAAGGGCGCGUAGGCGGUCCUGAUCGUCGGAUGUGAAAGGCCUGGGCUCAACCUGGGAAUGGCAUCCGAUACGGCGGGACUGGAGUGUGGGAGAGGUUGGUGGAAUUCCCAGUGUAGAGGUGAAAUUCGUAGAUAUUGGGAAGAACACCGGUGGCGAAGGCGGCCAACUGGACCACAACUGACGCUGAGGCGCGAAAGCGUGGGGAGCAAACAGG